rnacentral:rRNA from 1 species
GCACAAGCGGUGGAGCAUGUGGUUUAAUUCGACGCAACGCGAAGAACCUUACCUAGGCUUGACAUGCUGGAGAAAGCUUGCGGAAACGUGAGCCCCUCUUCGGAGUUCCAGCACAGAUGCUGCAUGGCUGUCGUCAGCUCGUGUCGUGAGAUGUUGGGUUAAGUCCCGUAACGAGCGCAACCCUCACUCUUAGUUACCAGCGGGUAAAGCCGGGGACUCUAGGGGGACUGCCGGUGCCAAACCGGAGGAAGGUGGGGGAUGACGUCAAGUCAUCAUGGCUCUUACGUCUAGGGCUACACACGUGCUACAAUGGGCCGGACAGAGGGUCGCCAACUCGCGAGAGUGAGUCAAUCCCCAAACCGGUCCUCAGUUCGGAUUGUAGUCUGCAACUCGACUACAUGAAGCUGGAAUCGCUAGUAAUCGUGGAUCAGCUACGCCACGGUGAAUACGUUCCCGGGCCUU